GCCGAGUUGGCAGAGAGGCUAUGCAUCCGCCUGCAGAGCGGAUUAGGGGGGUUCGAUUCCCUCACUCGGCU
rnacentral:tRNA from 1 species